GCACCCAUAGCUCAGUGGAUUAGAGCGUCGGUCUUCGGAAACGCAGGUCGGGGGUUGGAAUCUCUCUGGGUGAGCCU
rnacentral:tRNA from 1 species